CUCAAACCCUUCCCCAGACCAGCAAGCGACUGCAGUGCCAAAGUGGAGCCAGAGCAAGGAAGACGCUGAGCUGCGGGGCGGCAUGAGGUAGGUGACUCAGGUUCAGCCAGAAUUGCCAGAUUUGAAAUGGGCAGGAGAUAUUUUAAGAAGAUUCCACCUGGAAAUCCCUCUGGCCGCCUCUCUCACUGGUAACAAGCUUCACUCCUCCUGACUUUGAUCUGCUGCUCUGCGUGUCAGACGUUGGAGCUCUAGGAACUUGGACUGCGAUCCCCAGGAUCUGUAAACGCUGAAGAAUGUCUCUUCUCAUUCCUACCCUUCACUGCAGCGCAGAGAACCGGUACUCACUGAUUCAUGAACAUGGGCAUCAGCACAUAAUCAUUCAAGCCGUGGCAAUGGAGGCCUGACUCAGACAAGAUCAAAGUGGACCUGCGGGGCCAAGAGCACAGGAGAUGCCACCUUCCCCACCUAUGCACCAGUCCCAUUUUGCUGAGAAGCAAUACAGCUGAUCAAAGGUUUGAGCCACAGCCCUGAAGUCAAUGGAGGGACUCCUCAGCAGCCAUAAAUCACUUUAUGAUGCUCUAUCACAUAUGAUAAGUCCUGUACUUUGCCACCUUUGCAUGCAAUGCUUUAAGAUGCUACGAAACUGGAAAACAGAUGUACGAGCAGAUCCUCAUCCAGCAUAACACCAGCUGACGUUUGGAGUGGAGCGAUGACUGUUUAUACCAGCUGUCCUGGUGUUGUCCAGAUUAAAUAGAAAGAUCAGCCAACUUCCAACUACAACUGCUUCAGGGGAGAUAAUGCUGAGAUUCCUCAAAGGUGACUGAAAAUCUCAGCAUCACAGUCCCUAUUUGUUAAAUAUCUAUGUUGCAGACAGCCAAGAAAAUGAGAGUCCUGCACACAGUUUUGGAGGUUUACAUAGAAAAAAAAGCAGGAACACUAUUUAGUAACAAAUCCAUACUACUUCAGCACUGAUCCUGCCAAAACACACUGGAAUAUGGCUAUAUGAGCACUGGACUGAGAAGGGCUGAUCGCGAAUAAUGUUACCUGUGAAAGCAAGCCUGUGAGCAGAUAAGCCAGAGUAUUUUAGGUGGGAACCUUCUUGUCUUUACUUAAGGAUGUUCCUUUUCACCUAUAAAUGCAAACUUCUGCAUUUGGGUCAAAUUUUAUGCCAAGUUUCAGGAAUUUUUGAUCAACAAGCUUCCAUUUUGGGUAAACUUUUUGCAUCAAAAAAUCAUGUUAACCAUUCAGUGUUCCUUUUCAAUCUUUGCAAAAUGAACGUUUAGACUUGUCAGCUCAAAUUAAUUUGGCAUUUCAAAACAUCGUUUCACUUUAAUUAAAAUGCUCCAAACUGAACUGGAAUACUUUGCCUGGCCCAGAACAGAAUGAUGUUGGCUUUUCAGAAUUUAGAAAUAAAAAUUUGAGGUGACCAAGCAAGACAGCUGCCUUUUGUUCUCUAGGCAGUUUCUUCACCCUCGUUCUGAGGGAACUGUUGGUGAAUGGAGAACCCAUACUUCUGCAUAGCUCUGCUGCUCUGGCUUUCUCUGCAGCUGUGGGACCUUUAGCAGAACUGUUGGUUAUACAGCCACGAUCCAGCUGCCAUCGACCUGCUACAGUACUCCAUUGGAGGGACAUGACUAACUGGAUGCCCAAGAAAUCCAUCCCCCAACAUUAGCAGCUAGCAUUACUCUCACUACCCCAAUGCAGCAGAGUUUUCUCAGCUCCAAAGUGCUGUUAUUUAGUGUAAUCCAGAUCAUGGCAAAUGUGCUUGGUACCCCUACUGUUUAAACUCAAGGGGAGCUUCCCAGAUUCUUCCUCCCUUGUGUCCAAAGGCCUCUACUACCUUUAUUUUAACUUGAGAUUUGUUGGGGCAAGAACAGGGCCUUCAUAGCAUCUGCCAUUCAGCAUGACGGCAGGCAAAGUAUAGCCUCCAGCUGCCAGUAAAUCAAAUGGAGUUACAUCAGGGUUGAUGUUGCUUGAAAUUCUUGCAUCAGCGCUCAAAAGCCAGAGAGGAAAGAAAAGGCAAAAAAGCAGUUGUGGAAAGAGAGGAGAAAAGAUGUGCUGCUGAUUUGAAUGAGAACGAGUCGCUUCCCUGCCCCUCACUGGCAGGACUGAUUUAGAGGUAGGUCAGGAGCCACCCGUGAAGCUGUCUAGCCCCCUUUGGUUAUCAGUGGGAUUUGGUGCCCGGCUGCUUGUGCUCUCACAGUCCAAUGUUACCACCAUUAGAUGGCUGGUCACCGUCCUGUCUGGGUGUGCUGAAUUGGCAGAGGUCUUAGCUGUGAGGGGCUUUUCCUUAUAAUAAUUAUGUGUAUGGUCACAAAUGUGGACAAUAUCUACAUCCAAGCUUAAUCACAAUAAGUGCUGACUAGUCUUGGUAUGCAGGUUUUUGUAGCAUGGGUUACACCCAUCUCCAGACCUUAGUCCCUGCAUCCCAGUCCUUAAGCAUUCUAUUCCAUAAAGAGAAAUAUCACUAUAAUGACACACCUGAUGAAUAUUCCCUAACCAUUUAUCUGUCUAGUCCUGCAAAAUGUGCUUUAUCUAAAGCCCAAAUGUCACUCUGAUCUUGGCGUUGACUGUUACUAAUGUCAUGUCUUUACUCCUUCUCCUGGCUUAUCUGCCCUGCAAGAGCCCUGAGGCUGUCACAUGUCCCCUGAAUUAUAAACUAUUCCGAAUCAGGACUCAAAUGCAAAAUGUGGACAGAUACAAUAUUUUUUUUAAAAAGUACGCUUGUACAAGGAAAUAGUGAGCAUCACCUUUGAUUUCAGGGAACUAAAAGCAUCGGCAUAGAGACACUGCAAGCAUGUAAAGUUUUGGGACCAAAGUCAGCAUAUUUCCUACUGUUUCCAAGGUCCUUUAUGCUGGAAUUCCUUGGGAUGCAAGCAACACUUCCAGAGACAGCAAAGGUUGCUUCAGAACUGAUUGGGAAGUUCUGUCCCUGAAACAGCUAAUUAUUGGCAGAGAACAGAGAUAGGAUCUGAUGUUGCAAAAUGUGCGGUAUCUGUAACCCCUGGAAAGGUCAUUUGGGUGUGAGGAUCCUAAAAUGGGAUUGAAGAGUGAUUAAGGUCUCCAAAACUGGAAUGUGAGGAUUAUAAGAACGGGCUUAAAUGAAAUCUUUGAAUACAAAAGUCUUUGCUGGGCAGGAGUGUCUCUGGAUGUGCCUUAUGGACUACUGAGUCACUUAUACAGCAAUUAUUAAAAUAAUGUAUUUCAGCACCAUUAAGUCCUUGGUUGGAGGCCCCAUUUUGCUAGGUACUUUAUAAAAACAGAACCAAACACUUACAGCCUAAGCUGUACUCAGCUUGCUGCCUGUUUCUCCAGGAUGCUCCUGUGUCCCUAACAGUGGAAGUUUUGCUCCACUGUAUUGGAAAAGGUUCAAAUCUUCCUGUUACCCAGAUGAGGACUGAUGCGGGCCUUUGAAUUGAAUUUCAGCCCUGGUUUUGAAUGCAGUGCCCAGUGGCAAAGGAAUGGUUUUAUCUUAACACUGGAGGAUAUUUCAUUCUGUGCUUCCUAAGUUUGGUGCCUGUGCUUGAUCUUUUAUCAAUAAGCUAUUUUGGGGUGAAAUGAAGAAAAGAAUAAUAGUUAUUUUUCACUCCAAGCAGUGAGUGAAAGGUACUGGAAGCCAUGCAGCCACCCCACAAACAGAAGGCUCCCUUUAGGAGCCAUUUUCAGCUGUACACUUUCAAAUCCACUGCACUUUUUUAAUGACUGGAAAAAGAAAUGGCCAAAUCCACAUAAAUAAAUAAACUGAAUGGCUGCCAUAAUGUA